UGGGGAAUUUUGGACAAUGGGCGCAAGCCUGAUCCAGCCAUGCCGCGUGUCUGAAGAAGGCCUUCGGGUUGUAAAGGACUUUUGUCAGGGAAGAAAAGGGCGGGGUUAAUACCCCUGUCUGAUGACGGUACCUGAAGAAUAAGCACCGGCUAACUACGUGCCAGCAGCCGCGGUAAUACGUAGGGUGCGAGCGUUAAUCGGAAUUACUGGGCGUAAAGCGGGCGCAGACGGUUACUUAAGCAGGAUGUGAAAUCCCCGGUCUCAACCUGGGAACUGCGUUCUGAACUGGGUGACUAGAGUGUGUCAGAGGGAGGUAGAAUUCCACGUGUAGCAGUGAAAUGCGUAGAGAUGUGGAGGAAUACCGAUGGCGAAGGCAGCCUCCUGGGAUAACACUGACGUUCAUGCCCGAAAGCGUGGGUAGCAAACA
rnacentral:rRNA from 1 species